AGAAACUGCAAGUCGCUUCUGUUGUGAGAGAAUUGGCCGUCUGCAAGGACGUUGCCCAGGGGACGCCCGGAUGAUUUGAUGUUUUAUCAUCCUUGUGGGAGGCUUCUCUCAUGUCCCCGCAUGAGGAGCUGGAGCUGAUAGAGGGAGCUCAUCCGCCUCUCCCCGGAUUCAAACCUGUGACCUGUCAGACUUCAGUCCUGCCGGCACAGGGGUUUAACCCAUUGCACCACUGGGGGCUAGUCAAGACAUUUGAAGCCUUCCACAGAGAUGACCAUGAAAUGUAGCAUGACAAGCCAGAUAAAACACCAGCUCAUCCCUGAGCUAUACCUGAUGUUUCAGGAAGAGAAAUGUGGGGAAGUUUCCCUAUUCAAAAUCUGUUGGUUUAGACAGAGCUAAAUUAUAUUAUUUUAAAUCUUUCUCCAGACCUGCCAAACAUCUUAAGACUCACUAUAUUCUGCCUACAAAAGUGCUCUGAAGUCUCCUAAAGCUGAAGACACACACAGAUUAUUGUUGCUGCCAAUAAAGAAGGUAUAUUGCA